rnacentral:rRNA from 1 species
CAGUCGCCGCGGUAAUACGAGGGGGGCAAGCGUUGUUCGGAUUUAUUGGGCGUAAAGGGUGCGUAGGCGGUUUGAUAAGUCUGAUGUGAAAUCUUCAGGCUCAACUCCAGAACUGCCUUUGAUACUGAUAGUCUUGAGUAUGGGAGAGGUGAGUGGAACUGCGAGUGUAGAGGUGAAAUUCGUAGAUAUUCGCAAGAACACCAGUGGCGAAGGCGGCUCACUGGCCCAUAACUGACGCUGAGGCACGAAAGCGUGGGGAGCAAACAGGAUUAGAUCCCGAGUAGUCCCUGUCUCUUAUACA